ACACCCUCAAGCUCUGCUUGGUGUUGGGCGUUUGUCCCGCCUUCGCGCGUGGACUCGCCCCAAAGACAUUGGCAGCGGUCGUGCCAGCUUCUCGCGCAGCAUACGCGCUACGGAGGCGGAUCGAUCAGCGUCCACGAAGUUUCUUCACCA
rnacentral:misc_RNA from 1 species